rnacentral:rRNA from 1 species
UACGUAGGUGACAAGCGUUGUCCGGAUUUACUGGGCGUAAAGCGCGUUCAGGCGGUUUGACAAGUCGGGCAUGAAAUCUCUCGGCUCAACCGGGAGAGGUUGUCCGAUACUGUCAGACUUGAGGGCAGUAGAGGGUGGUGGAAUUCCGGGUGUAGUGGUGAAAUGCGUAGAGAUCCGGAGGAACACCAGUGGCGAAAGCGGCCACCUGGACUGCACCUGACGCUCAAACGCGAAAGCUAGGGGAGCGAACGGG